rnacentral:misc_RNA from 1 species
GGCUAUCGCCCCAACGUUGGCGUUUGUCUUAUCAACUCUGAUAAUCAGAUUUUUGUGGCUUCUAGAUUGAACGUUCCCGGAGCGUGGCAGAUGCCACAGGGGGGUAUCGAGGAUAAUGAGGAGCCUAGAUCUGCAGCCAUCAGGGAAUUGCGAGAAGAAACUGGGAUAGUGUCUGCUGAAAUUAUUGCUGAGGUACCAAAUUGGUUGACUUAUGACUUUCCACCUGCUGUGAAGGCCAAAGUGAAUCGUCUGUGGGGAGGUGAAUGGCAUGGGCAGGCACAGAAGUGGUUUCUUAUGAAAUUGACAAAAGAUGAGAGUGAGAUUAACCUGGCAAAUGGAGAAGCAGACCCAGAAUUUGCAGAAUGGAAAUGGGCAAGCCCUGAAGAAGUUGUUGAGCAGGCAGUGGACUACAAGAGGCCAACCUAUGAGGAAGUUGUGAGAACCUUCAGGCCUUACUUCAAUGAGAAGGGAAUUACGAGUAAAUGUAAAUCAUCAAAGUGGUGAAUGGGUGUGGGUGUGCUUUUGUAGGUUUCUCCUUGUUUCUUAUAGUAGUGAAUCUGGGCUUAUUACAACUUUUUCUGUAAAUGGAUGUGGCAGUUGGAAUUUCAAUUUAGAUGGUAGUUGCUUAAUUGUAAUAAAAAUACGUGCAAUCAUAUAUAUUUCAUGGUUUUGUGCAAGUCCCUACAUACUUGGACGUUGGAGAGUUUAUCUUUAGAAGGGG